GGAGUUUGGGCCGUGUCUCAGUCCCAAUGUGGCCGAUCACCCUCUCAGGUCGGCUACCGAUCGUCGACUUGGUGGGCCGUUACCUCACCAACUAUCUAAUCGGACGCGAGCCCACCCUUCACCGGAUUCCUCCUUUGACCCCUGAGCCAUGUGGCUCUGUGGUCUUAUGCGGUAUUAGCAACCCUUUCGAGUUGUUGUCCCCAACUUAAAGGCAGGUUAUCUACGCGUUACUCACCCGUUCGCCACUAGGUACAAGUACCCCGUUCGACUUGCAUGUGUUAAGCACGCCGCCAGCG
rnacentral:rRNA from 1 species